AGGGGCGCGGGAGCGGGCGGAACCUCAGGAAGAGGGCUGAGAAAGGGCAGUGACCCUGGGCAAGGUCACUAGUGGGCCUGGGCCUGGGAUGCAGGCAGUGUGACUGGGAGGCCUGCCUGAGCUUGUCCCACCAUCUCAGGUUUCGAGCAGAUCCCUCUGGGCCUGGGUUGGCCUGUGUCCCUGAGGAGGCCCCCUCUGCCCCGCAGCCGCAGCCCCCACCCAGCCCGAGGUGGGCGGAGAGGCCUCCGUCUCAGGCAGGCGCAGCACCUGCCCAGGGGCUCCAUAAAUGUCUGACUUAAUCGGAGCCAGGCAAGGGCUGCUGCGGGCUCAGAUGCCAGCUCCCUUGCCCUCUGAGGAGGAUGCGAAGUCACCAGUGGGCUUUCCCUGUCUUGGCCCUGUACACUGAGAACUGGGGGCAGGUGUCGGCGCUGUGCAUUGUUUCUGUUAUUCCAUAACUGUGGAGUGAUCACCUACUAUGUGCUAGGCACUGUUCUAGGUGCUGGGGAUACAGCGGGGAACUAAAAAGACAAAAUUCCUGCCUUAGUGGAGCUUAUAUUUUAGUCGGGAUAAAUAAGCAAAAUAAACGAGAAGGUAAAAUUGGCUAUUUGAAGAAACAGAGCAGGGUAGAGUGAGGAGAAUGAAGAGCUGAGGAGGUGGAGGGUGUUGCAGUUUUAAAUGGGACGGUCAAGGAUGGCCUCACUGAGAUGACAUUUGACAAAGACUUGAAGGAAGUGAGACAGAGCCAUGAGGAUAUCCCUGGGGAAGAGCAUUCGAGGCAGAGGAAACAGCAAGUACAAAGGUCCUGAGAUCUUUUUGGUGAGGCGUAUUUUGGGCAUAUUUGGUGAGUUGGAGGAAAAGCAAAGAGACCAGAGCGGCUGGAGUGGAGUAACUGGGAGGAGGGAAAUAGGAGAGCUCACAGGUGGGAGUAGGUGUUGUCGUUCAUGUAGGGUCUUGUGGGCCAUUAUAAAGACUUUGGCUUUUAUUCUGGUGAAAUGGGGCGUCCGUGCAGGGCUUUUAACAAAAGAGUGUCUUGGUCUGACCUACAUUUUAGGAAUAUCAGUGUGGCUGCAGUGCUGAGAAUACUGCUAAUAGUUCAGGAAAGAGAUGGUGGUGGAUGGACCAGGGUGAUAGCUGCGGGGGUGGGGAGUGUAUUGGAUGCUGGAUACUGCAUCUGAGGAUGGAGCUGACAGUCUGGAAUGCCAGGGAGGAGGAAGCAUCAAGUCAUAAUCAGCAUCAUCCCUUCUAGGGGUACCUGACUCUAGCUUUCCAAGAGUUCUCACAUGCAGGUUCGUCUCUCAUCCCCUGGCAGCCUUGAGGCUGUUCUUGGGAAGAACAGAUGUUGUGGACCCUGCUGACCAAUGAGGAAGCUGAAACUCAGGCUGUAAGAGAUGUGAGAAGGGAAGAUGAAGAGAUGCCUUCUGACGACCAGCAUAACCUCAGGCACUCCCAAAGACCUAUGGGCAUUGGUAUUACAGGUUUGACAAUGAUGUGGAAAACCACACCCUGUAGGCCGAAUCCAGCCUUGAGGCCUGGUGAUACCCGGCAGGAAAGAAGCGAAGUGGAAGAUGGCUCAGGAAGUCUGACUCCAGGCUAAUUCCUUGAGGAAAGCUGGCUUGCCAGGAGCGGUGGAGGCAAGCUGUUGGCUCAGAGUGAAGGUCAGUGCAAAGGGAGGUGCCUCUGUGGCCUGGAGACCCCCCAGGCCUCUUCCCACAGAAGCCAGGGGGAGUCCACUGGAUGACUAGAAUAGGAGAAGAGGUGAGCACAGGGGGAGAGGGCUUGAGAUCAUGGGCUGAGGUGGGGUCGGGGGGGGCUCCAGGGGAAGAAGGAGACACAAGUGACAAGAGGGGUCAGGGCCUUUGCCCUCUGCCCCUACGUCACCUCCUCGGAGAGGCCUCCCUCGCCACCCUCCCCAAACCGCUCCCUACUAUCCCUAUUCCCUUCACUCCCUAUGGUCUUAUUCCGCCAUGGUUUUGUUCUUGUCACCGCCUGAUUUAUAUUCAUUAGUUUAGUGUGUAUUGUCUGUCUCCCCUCAGUAGAAUCUACCUUCCCUGAGGGCCGGGAUCUUUGUGUGGUUUUGUUCAUGGCUGCAUCCCCAGCACUGAGAAUGGUGCCUGGAGCAUAGUGGGAGCUUGGUCAAUACUUGUGGAAGGGAUGGAUGAGUAAAAGUAAGGUGGUGGGGCUGGGUGGGACAAGUGGACUCCAGGCCUGAACAUCCCCACAGACAGGCCCACAGAGAAGCAGGAAUCAGCUUGCUGAAGCAGAUGGGUCAGGUUUAAGGGGGAGAUGGAAAUCCAGAAAGAGGAAAGGAUAGGGGGCCUCAGUGUCCCAACAGGACAAUCACUUCUAACCUUCGACCUUGCCACAGCGGGCAGCAGCAGCCCCGGCAUCUGGCUGCGGAGCCUGGGGAGGUGUGAGCCAUGAGCAGCUGGCCCUGUGGGCGGGCAUUCCAGCAAUGUUCAUGAGGAGCCUGGAAACCACAGGGGGCUUCCAGGCCCGGGGCUUGAGUAGUGACGGCUGCAGUGUCUUGUGAUAGGUUUUAAUUCUGAGAUAUUUGAUAAAUACAAGAACACGUCAUCAAGAGGUGCCUAUAUAAUAAAGUAAUAAAAUGAACACCAGGGAACCACCUAACUAUCCAGAGUUAACCGCUAGCUUAAUUUUUGUUUAUUAUACUCCCUGCUUUUUUUGAAGUAGUUUUAUCACCAAACUCACUUUCUUCCAUGCCUUGUAAUAUGAGUGUAAUAUAUAACCUCAUACAUGAUAUUGGUUGGUUUUGUACUUCCUAAAGAUGGUGUCGUUCUGUAACUUGCUUUUUUCCUCAUUAUGUUCCUGAAUUUGUCCCUGUUGCUUAUAGCCCAUGGUUCCUUCUUUUUCUCUAGUGUGCAAUAUUCCAUGGCAUGACUCUACCACACUUGAAUUAUCCAUCCUCCAGGUUUAUCACAUUUUCAGGACCCAAGUUUGCUUUUACGAACAAAGCUGCUGUUUAUUAAAGCUGUAUCAGUGCUGUUCUUUUGAGCAGGGUUUCUGAGGAUGAUUCAAGAUGGCUCUGUGCCCCUCUCUCCACUUGAAGUACCCUGGAGUCCCCUGACUUUCUUCCCAAGGGCCACCUGCUGCUGCCUGGAGCCAUGGUUCUCAUUAUAGGGACAAACCAUGGGAACCUUGCUGGGCAACUCUGCUGCCAGCACUGAAACUGGUGUUUCUAAUUUACUGCCUGUUGCCAUUUGAGAGGGAUAGCCAGAUGUAGGAGGCUGGCUGGUUCCUCAAGGAGGGCCUCAGCAUGGCAUGAUCCACAUGUGGAAACCAUGUUCCUAAGGUGGCCUUUGGCUUUGUGAGUCCAGAAACACGUGAGUGCUACAGGCUGCUCCAUCUACUCCCACUAAUGAAGCCCACUUCAAACCAUUGUUCACACUCCAUGCCAACUCUCAUAUAUGAUGGAAGCUAUUCACCCACUAUCCCAGGACUGGAGGCCCCAUUCCCGGGGUCAGGAUGCAUGCAAAGCUGAAAUGGUUGUUAGGAGGAUGGACUUGGAACUGGAGAGGGGCAAGUCUCAAGAAGGUCAUCAUCCAGGCCCUGGAAAAGCUCUCUAAGCUGUCUUGGUCCCAUUCCUGAGCCCACCUCACCAGGGCUGACAAUAUCCACGUGUCCCAGAUCUGUGUCCCCCUGCCCAGGCUGAGGCUGGACCAGCUGUGUGAAUUUUCACCUCUCAUCUCCAUCUGUGCCAACCUUGCAUAGGUUUUGGACACCAUAACAACGAUCGAGUUGGGUUUUGGUCUAAGCUUGUGUGAUAGGAAUCCCUUAUCUUCUGGAGUGUUUGUUUCACACUCAGAGUUCUGGGGAUACUUUCCUGUUACCCUGUAUACCACCUGUCCUUCCUCCAGAAAGGCAAAGAAUGGGCUUAUGAUAAAAUACCCACUUACAUGUGUAAAUGAACAGCAAAGUAAAGAUCAGAAACUAUACAGAUACAAGGGAGAUUGUUGUACCUGCCACAAGAGAGGAGACUGUGCUUAAGAGUGUGACUAGACUGAUUUUUGAGCUUCCUAGCAGACCAGGCACAGAAGAAAACACGUGGAGUGGUUUGAUUUGAAUACCGCAGUUGAUUCACACAUCUGGAGUUUUAUGAGUAGAUUAGGUCUGUGCCUAGGAUCCGAACCCACGAACCUGGGCCACCGAAGCAGAGCACGGGGAACUUUAACCACUCGGCCAUGGAGCCGGGCUCACACAUCUGGAGUUUUAAAGGGCAGCCAGGAACUAGGUAAGCACAAGGGAUCCAGUUGUUCUUACAGAGUUGUAUUAGCAAACAGUUGUGAAGCUUUUAUUUCAAACACUUUACUAAAUACAAAGAAGCUAAUUCUCAUUCUGAGUGAAGGAGUCUCCUAGACACAGACUCUGCUUAGGAAUUGCGAGUGAUCUUCUGCUGCACAAGGCACUACCACGCAAGGUCAUCACAUUCAAUUCAGUUCAGAACUCUUACUGAGCAUCUACUAUGUGCCAGAUGGCAUUAGGCCCUGGGGAUACAACAUCCUAUAAAGUGUGACCCCAUCCCUCAAGGAACUCACAGUCCAGCUGGGAAAUGGGACAGAGAAGUGAACAGCAGCUCUGCAGUUGGACUCAGAUGAGCACCAGGGACUGGAGGAGCCCUCAGCCCACCUGGGGGACUCUAGGACGUCCUCUUGGAGGAGGUAACCCCUGAGCCAAGCCUUGAAAGUGGAUUUCAAGUCUAGUCUGCUCACCAACUCUCCCCACCUCACAGACUGGACCUGAGUUUUCAAACAUCCUAGACUCAAGAUAGAGUCACAGCAUUCAGACACAUCAAGCCCCAGAUCCCUCCCACCGUCAGAUGAGAAAAGUCCCACAGCUUGGUCUCCUUUCCUGUAGCAAAGCACCUGUUGGUCAGAGAGGCUGGAGAUGAGGGCUCAUCUGACCUGCUGGCCAGCCACAGAAGCAUGCAAAUACUUCUGAUUGUUUUCUCACCCCCAGAUCAGAUGCUUGCAGGACUAAAACCAUGCUGACUGCACAGGCCUUUCCCUGGGGACUCGUGGGCAUUCCGCUCCUUCUGGCAUUUGGGGGUCAUCCCUGGACGAGAAGAGCAGGAGGCCUGGGUCAAGCCCUGCCUCUACCCAACAACAAGUGGUUCAUGAUCAGGUGUCCUCCAAUUUCCUUAUUUGCAAAAUGAGAGCCCUGCUCUAGGCGGUUGCUGGGCUCCCGUCCAUGAUUCCGUCCUGUCAAAGUGAGAAUUAGGCAGUUGCUAAAAUGUGAGGAAACCCGGGUUAUCCCUAAUUGGUAUGUGGGUAUGUGCGUUCUCCUACAAGCGGAGGUUCCCAGACUGCAACGCGGUGCAGAGCUCUCAGUCAGCAGAUGUGGAGGAGAGGGGAGUGUGUGACACUGAACUUGGAGUUAGGCGGCCUGGAUCUGCUUUUCAUCUCCGUAACUAACCUGCUGUCUUAAGGUCGGGCUUGAGAAAUUCAUCCACUGAGAAGCAAGACGAAACUCGUUCAAAUAUAUGAUUAAAAUAAGUGGGAAAUAAGUAUGAUCUGUCAGGUACUUAGGAAAGGAAGGGGGAAGAUGAAGGUACCAGCUAAACCCCAGUAACACACCGGUCAAAGGUCAGCGCGAGAAACCAGGACUUUGGCUGGUUGAAAGGAACACUCAAGUCUUUGUCAUAACGCAGAAUUUUCCUCCCGAGGCAUCUGUUUGAAGACAAGCCCGCAGGACUUGCAGACCGGGUUAGAACGCCACCUGCCUUCAGCCCAGGGGGCGGGGCCCGCGCCCCUUGCCGGAGCGCUAAUGGAAGGGGCAGGCCCGGCGCGGCAGCGGCAGCAGCCAAUGAGAGAGUCUCCCGAUGAGGUCAUGGAGUUCCUCGGCGCUUCAUUGGCGGAUCCCCCGCGAGGCUUCGGCGCCGACCGCGGGGCGGGGCGGCGGGUCGCAGCUGGGGGGCCUGGGGAGCCAGGGCUGGAAGGGCGGGUCCCGCAAACUUUCUCCCGGCAUUUAUUUACCCUGAGCAGCAGCAGCGCGAUGCCUCGGAGCCGGUCUCCUCCUGCAGGGAGAAACUAAAAUGCCAGGAAAAAAAGAGCUCUUACCUACCCCAGAGGCUAGGUUUACCUAUUCUGGGGGAACCUUCAUUUUGCUUAGUAAAAGUGAAGGGUUGGUUUGUUUUGUUUUAAUCUAGUCAAACACGCUGAUUAAUUAACCACUUUAUUUAAGGACUCCUAGGAAGCGUCCACUGGUUGGUCCCCUUUUAUUUCCCCACGGUGACACUCAAGGUUGGGAACCAAGACAUUUCUGAUAUUCUGAAACAUUUUAAAACAGUGAUUCUCAAACCCUGGUGAUUUAAAACGGUGAUUCUCAAACCCACAGAGGAAUCCUGAAAUGCUGGUUGCACACUCCUGGCUCCUCCCCCUGUCUCCAGUCCUUCUAACUCUGGAACUUGCAGGAAGAAGAAACUGGCAGGGCCGGGGAUGUGGACCCCACUUUGGGAACCAAAGCGCUUAAAGCGUCAUCGGCAUCUCAGGCUGUGCCGCCCUAGACCUACUGAAUCAGAGACCUACUGAGGUGGGGUCCAGCCAUAUGUGUUUUAACAAGAUCUCCAGAUAGUUCUCAUGCACACUCAAGUUUGCGAACCGAUUUGAAUCAACUGCUUAUUGAGACUGCUUCAGAACGUUCUGAAGAGUUACUCUGCAGUCCAUUCUCUCCUGCACUCUCAGAAUCUUAGGGCUAGAAAGAGGGACCCCUAGUCCAGGCCCUUCCGGAGGUAGAUAACUUAGAGGUGCCUGCCCUGUGUUCACCACGGAUCUCCUGGGGCUCACCAGGGCUCCCAGCAGCUGCUGUGGUUUUGGUUACAGGUAAUUGGACCAGAGAUGCACCUGUGACCAAUCCUUUCCUGGAAAUUAGAAAUUAACUGAGACAGCCCUAUGAGUGACUAGACCCUAAGGGUGAACUUGGUACCCAAGGGCAGCCCUGUUCUGCCAUGUGGCCUGGGGAGCAGAGGAAGCCAGUCUGCAGAAAGAAGAAAAGUGAAUCAGAAACACAGGGAAGCCCAGAGAUGGGAGGUGGAGAGAGAAUCUGUUCCAAGAUGCCCUCCAGGCCUUGCACUACCGGCCCUGCCUCUCUCUCAGACUUAACUCAGGACAUCGGCUCUGGCUCAUUGGACUGCAGGCAGAUUCAUCUUCAAGCAAGCACAGCAUGGUCCCACCUGAGGUUUUACACACGCUGUUCCCUCUGCCUGGCACUCUUGCCCGCUGUCUUUCCCAUGCUGCCUCUUUCUUGACAAUCAGGAAUGUUCUUAAAUGUCUCUUUCUCAGAAAGUGAUGCUCCAAAGCGGCCCCUCCUCCAGGCACACUCGAUCACAUUAGCCUGCUCUGCUGCCUUCCCUGCACGUGUCAUCUUCAGUGCCCUCACAGGGAUUUAUUUUCUUACUGGUUUGCCAUAAGCUCCUUGAGAGCAGAGAUCCUGUAGGUUUGUUCAUCACUGGAUCUCCAGGCCCUUGAACAUGGCCUGGCACAUGUAGUGGUAUCUCAAUAAACGUUAGUUGAAGGAAGGAUCACUUCCCCAUCCUUCCUGAGGACCAGCAUCCUUCCAGGCUUCAGGUUGCAGGAGACUCCCCAGCCUGUGUUCUCUGAUAACAAACGUCCUUCCUGGCAGACGCAUGUGGAUUCCUGAUGGACUCCUAAGGGGUUCAGCCUUGUCUACAGAUAAGGAAACUGAGACCCAAGUGACUUUCCCGGGGUUAUGUGACCAGUUAGUUGGGCAGUGGGGACAAGAGAACUAAGCUUUCAGGCCACUGCUGCAUCCCCAGGGGACUCACUCUCCUGACCGUGGGUCGCAGCCCAGGGCUCUCCCCACAGCAAGGUGGUCAAGUCAACCUCAGGCCUGUGUGCUUCCUGUUGCAAGCUUUUAAUAAAUCAGUUUCUUUUCAAAACACUGCCCAGAAUAGUCUGUGGUCUCCCAGCAGAAAGAUGCCGACAGCUCUGUCUAUUCUAGGAAGUUAUUUUAUUUUCUGAUGAAUAUAGUGGGAAUGGAUGCUUUGAAUGUCUCAGUUGCUGAAGGAACAUGAAAGAUAUGACACUGCUCCUGCCCCACCCAGAUUUCUUUUUCAAGAUGUCCUUUUGUUCAGCCUCUGUUUUGCUGUAGUCCUGGGAAGCUGAUCCUCUUGCCCAGAGGAAAACACAGUCCUAACUGCUGUGUGUAGAACGCUCUUCUAAGGAGCUCUCCCAAGGAAAUGGGACCCUUGCACUUGGCCUGGGAACUCAACAAUUGUGUGUUGAAUGGCUGACUUGGCCAUGACUGCCAGAGUGACUGUUAUCAGACUCGGAGAUGGCGCUGGUCAGGGAAGGCAGGAAGCACAAAGCGUGGACUGAGAUGCCCUUACUCGUGGGAGGCAGAAUAGCCAUUUGUCAUGCUUUGUGGCCACCUGGGAUCUUUAUCUCCUUUCCUGUAUUUGGAGAAUCCCCUACCUGAUGAGGCAGAACCUUCCUCCCACUGGAGAAGCUGAAAAGGCCAGGCACUGACUGUGCCAGACUCCCUUGUGAUUCCAGGGAGGGCGGGUAACCUCAGCUCUGCUGGACAGACACCACUGAGUCCAGGGGCAGCUGCAUCCCAAUUUGGUCAAGGUUGUCCAGGCAGCUGUGGGUGGAGUCGGUCCAGGGGCACCUGGGUAUCCAUGCCCAGCAGUGGCGCAGUGGUGUCUCUCCUUGCCAGACCAGCCCUGAGGGGGAUUUCCAGCCUCUGUCCCUGGCUGCCCAGCCUCCCAGCCUGGUCCUCGUCCUCCCAGAGACUGUGAACCACUUGAGAUUAAUUCUGUUUCUGCCUGAAUGAGCCAGGUUUGGUUUCUGUGGCUUGUAAUGGAGAACAGGACAAAGGGGAGACUUCCUGAAGGAGGGCCAGGCAGUGGCGGGGCGUGAAGAGGGGCACAGCACCCCGGUGGAGGACAUGGCAUUUGAGCAGGAAGAGACGCCGCAGCACCUUGUCCUUCAGACCGAGUCACAAGCUGUGUGGAGGGAAGUGAGUCACAGAGCGGGUCAGAUUGUCCUCCAGCUCCUCGCAGGGGUUACAAAGGGUCACGGGAAUCAGGAACAGGCUGGAGGGACUUCCUGCAGGGCUGGCUUUCUUCCCUUCGCUGCUUUUGAGCUUUUCACUCAAGAACAUCGGGCUUUCCUCCUGUGAUGAGCUCAGCCUCAUCAGAGGCAGCUUCUCAGGUUUGACUGGGGGACCUCAGGGUGCUCCCCUACCUUGAACCCACAGGCAAGUCCUUCACCUAAAGUUCUGCUUUAAUGAGGGCUGCAUUUCUCUUUACAAGGAAAGAUAAAGCUUAAAAUACCCACCCCCCACCUCCAGCACAGCUCUUACAUUUACGCCUCUGAUGGGAGCAACAAAUGCCAGUGGAUGGGCCCCCGCAGCUCCGUGUGCAUUAGAAGGGGGUUGUGGGCUUCACCCCAUGUGGGGAGGUGCUGAUGCACACUGGGGCGCCGGGGAUCGGGUCCUUUUUGGGAGCAGGGUUUGAACAAACAAGGAGCAGCUCAGACACUUGGACCUGCAGGAGAAGGAGGAGGAGGGAAAGGCCUCUAGAAGGUGGAGGCAGGGGUCCAGCACCCCACACAUGGGCCUCCCUCCUGUUGUCAGAGACUGGGCUGUGGGCCUGUCAUCUCAUCCCUAACCCUGGUUUAAACCAUCAACUGCUGCACAGCCCUGUGUGCAGGUCCGUGUGGACAGGCCCAGGAGGCAUCUGCCCACACGGGGGUGGGGGGGCGGUUAAAGAGCACAAUCUUUGGGGCUGGGACAGUGGCAUAGCAGUUAAGUUCACGCACUCCACUUUGGAAGCCCGGGGUUCGCUGGUUAGGAUCCUGAGCGUGGAGCUAUGCACCACUUAUCAAGGCACACUGUGGCAAGCAUCCCACAUAUAAAAUAGAGGGAGAUGGGCACAGAUGUUAGCUCAGGGCCAAUCUUCCUCAGCAAAAAGAGGAGGAUUGGCAGCAGAUGUUAGCUCAGGGCUCAUCUUCCUCAAAAAAAGAAAAAAAAUAUAGCACAAUCUGGAAAGAGCAGAAGCAGGACAUGGCACUCCUGUGACACUUACCAUCCUGGGUCCUCAAACCAGCAUCAGUGACCUGCUGCCUUCUGCAGGUCCUCCACUCUGGGCGUCAACUUCUCACUGAAUCUCUGCCUGGUGGGCUGUGGACUCCCAGGUACUCAUCAGCUCACCCAUCCAUUCAGUGGAGUGUCUUUGGAGAGCCCCCAAAGGGAAGAGAAGGAAAUCCCUGCUGAACUCCACCUCCAUCUUCACCAGGCGCAUUUCCAUCCCCAAGGGGAAGGAGCAGGUGGCAUUUCCAGCUCUCUCCCUUGUCAUUUUUUCCUACACUUGACGUUUUUGCUAUAACAAAUACCCACAAUCCCUCCUCUGUUAGAGGCAUUUGGGUAUUUGCUUCUCUGAACAGACUAUGAGUCUCUGAAGGGCCAGGACUGGGUCUUGGUCACUUCAACAUCUCCCAUGUCAUUUGGCCCAUGGUUGGCAUGCCAUACAGUUUUUGACUGAAGGGACAUUCACUGGAAUUGUCAUGCUCCGAGGCCAUCUACGGCCCUAUAACAUCUGUGUAGUGUGUUAUAAUGUAUGAUUUUAAAAAGUUUAUUGAGAUACAAAUUACACCACAUAUAGUCUCAAAGUAUACAAUUCAAUAGUUGUUAAUAUAUUCACAGAGCUUUGCAACCAUCACCACAAUUCUAGAACAUUUUGUCACCCCAAAAAGAAACCCUGGACCUAUUAGCCAUCACUCCUGGUGCCCCUGCUCCCAAACACCUGGCAACCACUAACAGAUUUUCUGUCUCCAUGAAUUUGUCUAUCCUGGCCACUUCGUAUAGAUAGAAUCAUACAAUAUGUGGUCUUCUAUAACUGGCUUCUUUGAUUUAGCAUAUUUUCGAGGUUCCUCCAUGUGGUAGCAUGUACCAGCACUUCAUUCAGUUUUACGGUUGAAUAAUGUUCUGUUGUGCGGAUACCACACUUUAUUCAUCUAUUCAUCAUUGUGGACAUUGGGCUGUUUCCACUUUCUGGCUGUUGUGAAUGAUGCUGCUUUGUACGUUUGUGUGUUGAUUUUUGUGUGGACAUACAUUUUCAUUUUGCUUAGGUGUACACCUAGGAGGAAAAUUGCUGGGUCAUGUGGCAACUCUAUGUUUAACCUUUUUAGGAGCUGUCAAAUUGUUUUCCAAAACAGCUGCACCAUUUCACAUUCUCACUGACAAUGUAUGAGGAUUCCAGUUUCUCUACAUCUUCGUCAACACUUGUUAUUGUCUGCCUUUUUCAUUCUAGCCGUCCUGGUGUAUGUGAAGCAUGUCUCACUGUGGUUUUGAUUUGCAUUUCCUUGAUGACCAAUGAUGUUGGGCAGCUUUUCGUGUGCUCAUUGCCCCUUUAUCUGUCUUCUUUGGAGAAUUUAGACCCUUUGCCUAUUUUUAAAUUGAGUUUUCUUCUAUUAUUGAGUUGAGCAGUUCUUUAUAUAUUCUAGAUACAAGUCUCUUACCAGAUAUAUGAUUUGUAAAUAUUCCCCCCAUUCUGUGGGUUGUCUUUUCACUUUCUUGAUAGUGUCCUUUGAAGCACAAAUGUUAAUUUUGAUGAAAUCCAAUUUCUCUAAUUUUUUCUUUUGUCACCUGUGCUUUGGGUAUUGUACUUAAGAAAUCAUUGCCUAAUCCAAGGUCAUGAAGACUUACACCUAUGUUUUCUUCUAAGAAUUUUGUAGUUUUAGCCUUUACAAUUAAGCCUAGGAUCUAUUUUGUAUUAAUUUUUGUAUUUGGUGUGAGGUAGAGACCCAAAUUCAUUCUUUUGCACGUGGAUAUUCAGUUGUACCAGCUCAAUUAUUGAAAAGAUUCUUCUUUCCCCCAUUGAAUGAUAUUGACACCCUCAUGAAAAAUCAAUUGACCAUAAAUAUGAGUUUAUUUCUGAACUCUGAAGUUUAUUCCAUUGAUCUAUAUGCUUAUUCUUAUGUCAGUAUCACACUGUCAUGAUUACUGUAGCUUUGUAGUAACUUUCAAAGUUGGAAAUGUGAGUUCUUAACUUCAUCCUUCUUUUAUAAGAUUGUUUUGACCAUUGAGGGUCUCUUGCCUUUUUAUAUUAAAAUUUGGAUCAGUUUGUCCAUUUCAGCAAAAAUUCAUAGCUGGGAUUUUGGCAGGGAUUGUGUUGAACCUGUAGACCAACUUGGUGAGUACUGACGUCUUAAGAAUAUUAAGUCUCAUCCU
rnacentral:lncRNA from 1 species